GUGGGGAAUCUUGCGCAAUGGGCGAAAGCCUGACGCAGCCAUGCCGCGUGAAUGAUGAAGGUCUUAGGAUUGUAAAAUUCUUUCACCGGGGACGAUAAUGACGGUACCCGGAGAAGAAGCCCCGGCUAACUUCGUGCCAGCAGCCGCGGUAAUACGAAGGGGGCAAGCGUUGCUCGGAAUUACUGGGCGUAAAGGGCGCGUAGGCGGACAGUUUAGUCAGAGGUGAAAGCCCAGGGCUCAACCUUGGAAUUGCCUUUGAUACUGGCUGUCUUGAGUACGGGAGAGGUGAGUGGAACUCCGAGUGUAGAGGUGAAAUUCGUAGAUAUUCGGAAGAACACCAGUGGCGAAGGCGACUCACUGGCCCGUUACUGACGCUGAGGCGCGAAAGCGUGGGGAGCAAACAGGAUUAGAAACCCGUGUAGUCC
rnacentral:rRNA from 1 species